ACAUCUACUCGACAACCCGUGGAAUA
rnacentral:sRNA from 1 species